CGACCGGCAAACGGGUGCGGAACACGUACGCAACCUUCCUUCAAGUGGAGAAUAGCCCAGGGAAACUUGGAUUAAUACUCCGUAACAUUACGAAGUGGCAUCACUUUGUAAUUAUAGCUCCGGCGCUUGAAGAUGGGCGUGCGCCUGAUUAGGUAGUUGGCGGGGUAACGGCCCACCAAGCCUACGAUCAGUAACUGGUGUGAGAGCACGACCAGUCACACGGGCACUGAGACACGGGCCCG
rnacentral:rRNA from 1 species